AACCCACAGGCGGACUACUACUAGCAAGAUUGCUAUGCGGGGAGGCACUCAACUUUGAAGGCCUUGACCUGGAAACAUAAGAGUGCAGGCAGAUGACCUCCUACCAGCUAUAGCAAGAAGAUUAACACACAAAAGCUAUAUAUUUUUUUAUUUAUGCCCGCGAGCAGAACCAAUCUUCUUCAGAUACACACCAAUCCCCAACCUAUGAAGGAACAAGGAUAUAAGUAUCGCAAUAUGAGUUUUCGGAGGGGGGGGCAAAUGUUAAAAAUGCAUAUAAAGCAGGCUUUCACCUUGCCCCUACUGAUGAACAAGAAGACACCUAUAAUAUGAACCAAAGUGGAUAGAUUCUGGGAGGAAAAAGAUGAUAAGAGUUGCAAUGAGUACAAGCAAAUGAAGCAUAAUAUGACCCAAUAGCAUUAGAUAAGCUGAACAAGUAAACAGCAGAGCCAGUCAUCCACAUAUCCUUGUAUCGAUACAAGACUGCAGAACAAGCUAUGAAGCAAACCAAGACCAAGCCCAGCCCAAUUCAGGAAGUAGCAGAGGAAAGACCAGGGAGGGGGGGAGCAAAUAAGAAGGAAAACCAAGGAGGGAAACCUAUAGGAAAAGGAAAGAGCCAGUUGGAGACCCCGGCAAAAGGGAGAACACUUUACCUUAACUUCAACAGUGCUUGAAGCCUGCAAUGCAU